UACGGGGGGGGGCAAGCGUUGUUCGGAAUUACUGGGCGUAAAGGGCGCGUAGGCGGCCUUCUAAGUCAGACGUGAAAUCCCUCGGCUCAACCGAGGAACUGCGUCUGAUACUGGAAGGCUUGAAUCCGGGAGAGGGAUGUGGAAUUCCAGGUGUAGCGGUGAAAUGCGUAGAUAUCUGGAGGAACACCGGUGGCGAAGGCGGCAUCCUGGACCGGUAUUGACGCUGAGGCGCGAAAGCUAGGGGAGCAAACAGG
rnacentral:rRNA from 1 species